rnacentral:lncRNA from 1 species
UUUUUUAAUCUUGACAGGACUUUGAAUCAUUUUGUAAAACUUAAAUAGAAAGCAAUUGUUCAAAAGUCUGGGAUUUAAGAACUUUGUAACUGUUGCUGACUGUUCAGAGCUUCCCAGCUGGAGAGUGAGCAUCCGUCUUCCCACCACGUCCCUUUGGUUGACCUGGCUUCACUGUUGAGGGCACGUCACUGUCACUCAGCUCAGGCCCUACUGUCACACUCAUCUUUCUUUUUUCACCAGCAGGUUUUGGUAUCAAAGCCCUGGAGUGUUCAGCCCUGCACGGGUCCCCCAGCCGUGACUGGUCAUGGAAGUCAGCAGGCCCAGGCUGCUGUGUGCGUGAAGGCAGUGCGCCUGUGGGAUGAUGUGAGCUACCCUGAGGUUCUCAAGGCCCAUGUUCGAGUGUGGCGGACAGCUGUGGAGGUACAGCUGCUGCAUUUUGACCAUGAGAUCCUUUCUCCUUUUACAUUGCCGGGUUCUCAGGUCCUAAGGUGAGAGAGGAUUUUAUUAGUAUGAGAAUGUCUUCCCUUACUUUCUUCAUUUACUGUUAUUUAGCGCUUUCCUCAGAGGUUGACCUUAUUUCUUUAUCUAAUUAUAUGCACAUAUGUUAUGCACCUUGACACAAUAAUUAUAAAUGUAUACAUCUAUACUGUGGCAGGUGGAAGAUACAUAUGGUUUCUUCUUUCUUUUUUAGGUUACGCCACGUGGCAUGUGGGUUUUUAUCUCCCUGGCCAGGGAUGGGACCCUCGCCCACCCUAUUGGAUGUGCAGUCUUAACCACUGUACCACCAAGCCUUAACAUUUACUUCUCAGUUUUAUUUUUCUUCGGCCUUUUCUUGAAGUGGUCUUUUCUAUUUUAUUAUUUAGUGCUUUUUAAAAAAAUCAAGUAAUGCUCUUUUUUACUUCGGAUACUUGUGUAAAAUGUUUUGAGUUUUGUUUUAUCCUAAAAUAUAUUUUUCUCUCUGAAAAGUGAAGGCUGUCUUACUUUGUAUAGGAUUCCUGAUUGUGGUCUUUCUUUUUUCAUUGAUUUUUACCUUCUUAUAGUUCAGUUGAAAGUUUAGAUACCAUUUUUUCCUGCUUAUAUAGGUUUUUCAAAUUCUUUAUGGCAAGUAUUCUCCCAGGCUCGGGGAGGAAGGCAGCUCAUCUACCUAGGUUCUUUACCUUCUGAGAAGCAGACAUCUGACCUUGGAUCCUGGAAGAGCUGAGCUGCCCGGAGCCCUUGGCCAGGCUGGGAGGGUGCUCUGAGGUUCUGUCCCCAGCGUCCAGCACAGCCCAUUCCUUCUACACGGGCACAUCUGGCCUCCAGGUCCUUUGGGGCUGGGAGCUGAGGCAGGACCCUCCUCCAGAUACUGGAACCUUGAGGUCAUGUGCACUCCUGCAGUUCCCAGGGUCCUGUGAUGAGCCAUCCAUUUGUCAGCCAAGGACCUUCCUUCUUGCUUUUGGAUGAACUCUGUUCUGAAGAAGGUCCUUGGGGAAAACAUGAGGACUGCAUCUUU